GACGAACGCUGGCGGCGUGCUUAACACAUGCAAGUCGAACGGUAAGGCUCCAGCUUGCUGGGGUACACGAGUGGCGAACGGGUGAGUAACACGUGGGUGACCUGCCCUGCACUUCGGGAUAAGCCUGGGAAACUGGGUCUAAUACCGGAUAGGACCGCACCGUGAGGGUGUGGUGGAAAGUUUUUUCGGUGUGGGAUGGGCCCGCGGCCUAUCAGCUUGUUGGUGGGGUAAUGGCCUACCAAGGCGGCGACGGGUAGCCGGCCUGAGAGGGUGGACGGCCACAUUGGGACUGAGACACGGCCCAGACUCCUACGGGAGGCAGCAGUGGGGAAUAUUGCACAAUGGGCGGAAGCCUGAUGCAGCGACGCCGCGUGGGGGAUGACGGCCUUCGGGUUGUAAACUCCUUUCACCAUCGACGAAGGGUUUCUGACGGUAGAUGGAGAAGAAGCACCGGCUAACUACGUGCCAGCAGCCGCGGUAAUACGUAGGGUGCGAGCGUUGUCCGGAAUUACUGGGCGUAAAGAGCUCGUAGGUGGUUUGUCGCGUCGUCUGUGAAAUUCCGGGGCUUAACUCCGGGCGUGCAGGCGAUACGGGCAUAACUUGAGUACUGUAGGGGAGACUGGAAUUCCUGGUGUAGCGGUGAAAUGCGCAGAUAUCAGGAGGAACACCGGUGGCGAAGGCGGGUCUCUGGGCAGUAACUGACGCUGAGGAGCGAAAGCAUGGGGAGCGAACAGGAUUAGAUACCCUGGUAGUCCAUGCCGUAAACGGUGGGCGCUAGGUGUGGGCUUCCUUCCACGGGAUCCGUGCCGUAGCUAACGCAUUAAGCGCCCCGCCUGGGGAGUACGGCCGCAAGGCUAAAACUCAAAGGAAUUGACGGGGGCCCGCACAAGCGGCGGAGCAUGUGGAUUAAUUCGAUGCAACGCGAAGAACCUUACCUGGGCUUGACAUAUACAGGAUCGCGCCAGAGAUGGUGUUUCCCUUGUGGCUUGUAUACAGGUGGUGCAUGGUUGUCGUCAGCUCGUGUCGUGAGAUGUUGGGUUAAGUCCCGCAACGAGCGCAACCCUUGUCUUAUGUUGCCAGCACGUUGUGGUGGGGACUCGUAAGAAACUGCCGGGGUUAACUCGGAGGAAGGUGGGGAUGACGUCAAAUCAUCAUGCCCCUUAUGUCCAGGGCUUCACACAUGCUACAAUGGUCGGUACAGUGGGUUGCCAGUCCGUGAGGGCGAGCUAAUCCCGCAAAGCCGGUCUCAGUUCGGAUCGGGGUCUGCAACUCGACCCCGUGAAGUCGGAGUCGCUAGUAAUCGCAGAUCAGCAACGCUGCGGUGAAUACGUUCCCGGGCCU
rnacentral:rRNA from 1 species